UACGUAGGAGGCAAGCGUUGUCCGGAAUUACGUGGCGUAAAGCGCGUGUAGGUGGUUGGGACAAGUCUGCUAGUGAAAGCGCCUGGCCGUUAACCGGGCGAGGUCGGCGGAAACGUGUCCGACUCGAGGACGGGUAGAGGGGGUGGAAUUCCCGGUGUAGUGGUGAAAUGCGUAGAGAUCGGGAGGAACACCUGUGGCGA
rnacentral:rRNA from 1 species